GAUGAACGCUGGCGGCGUGCCUAACACAUGCAAGUCGAACGAGAUUCUUAAGACAGAUUCCUUCGGGAUGAAGACUUAAGUUGACAGUGGCGGACGGGCGAGUAACGCGUGAGUAACCUACCCUAUGCAGGGGGACAACAUCGGGAAACCGGUGCUAAUACCGCAUAAGACCACAGUAUCGCAUGGUACAGGGGUCAAAACUUUUGUGGCAUAGGAUGGACUCGCGUCCAAUUAGCUAGUUGGUGAGGUAAUGGCUCACAAAGGCGACGAUUGGUAGCCGAACUGAGAGGUUGAUCGGCCGCAUUGGGACUGAGACACGGCCCAGACUCCUACGGGAGGCAGCAGUGGGGAAUAUUGCGCAAUGGGGGAAACCCUGACGCAGCAACGCCGCGUGAAGGAUGAAGGCUUUCGGGUUUGUAAACUUUCUUUGAUGAGGGAAGAUAAUGACGGUACCUCAAAAACAGCCACGGCUAACUACGUG
rnacentral:rRNA from 1 species